GAAGGGAAAAACUUUGGUCUCCAAACUCAAGCUAAGGCUGCGGGGCCUACUCUCCGGCCUCUUACCCGAUCUCGUCGCCGCCCUGGUUGUUCAUGGCGGCGGGUGGGGAGGAAACGGGGCUGUCGGCGCGGCUCGACGGCAAGGCGGUUUCUCGGUGUUGGUCGGCCGUUUUCUCCGAUUUUCACUGGAUCUCUCUUUGUGCCGGUCUGUAUGUCUUUUUUCUCUCCCCUCCCCUUUCCGCCGGAGCUAACGGGUCCGGUCACCGAGCGGCUCGGAUCGAUUAGCGCUCCGCUUUUCACUUUAUUUUUCCUUCCUCCUACCCCCACCACCACCACCUCCUCCUCCACCUCCAGCAGCAGCACCGCCGGCGGCUGCUUCGGCGCCUGCGCUUCACCGACACUGAGAGGGACAAACAGAGCGAGCGAGAGCGGCAAUGAUGGUGGGGGAGGGGAAAAGGGGGGAAAAAAUCCCAACCGACGCUGAAACUGCGCAACAACCGCAGCGCUACGGGGUCUCCCGCACUGCACGUCAGAGCGUCUCCAUGGCAACCCGCCAUCCGGGACCCUCCGUGUGGCGGGACCGGGCCGCGUCGUCCGCUGGGAGUUGUAGUUUCCCUUUGCCGCAGCCGCCAUGCUUGGACUUCUUUUUACUGGGAGGAGGAGGAGAAGGAAACGUCAAAUUCGUCGGCAAUGCGCGUUUUGUAUUAUUCUUUUCUGCCGAAAUUUGAAUUGUGGUUGCCGGUUAGACCCCAGGAUGAUGCUGCAUAUCUAAGUGAAUAAAGAUAAGGCAACUGACAGAAGACAGUUUUAGGAUUAUUAUCAGGAAUGUUUUGAGUGAUGGCCCUGGGCCCCUUUGGAGCAACCUCAGUCAAGUCACGAAUCAUUGCAGCCACAAAAGAGUUGAAAGUCUGAGGCCCAGGAACAAGAAUGUGCUGGUUCCUUGCAAAUCUCCAGUUUGGAGUGAACUUUCGGGAGUACAUGGCUGCUGCUGAGGGGGGAGAGAGAGAGAAAGCGAGCGAGCAAGCAAGCAGUGUCACCAAAGAACAAUCUAUGCUGGAAGUGAAAUCAUUGAACAGGCAAUGCACUUAUUUAUUUGUAUUUAGUUUGCAGAAAUUCAAAGAAAAAUGUAGAGAAAGGGGCUGAGAGAGUGAUUUAAAAGAUACAAAUUGACAAGUGCUUCAAAUGAUUUUCAAGAUUCCUUCAAAUACUGUGACUGAAAUUAGAAAAUAAUUUUUCCUUUGUUAUUGGACAAAUUAGAGGUUAAUUUUUUUCUAGAAUGUCUUUAAUAAGACAAAUUAGAUUGCUCUUUGCCUCUUUUGUGCUUCAAUCAUAGCUGCAUAUGAGUUUGCCUAAAUGACAUUCCUUAUGGACAAGAUCCUCUGAAUUGUUGACAUUGCAAGGGACGUCAAAAAUCUGUUCCCUCGCUGCUUGAACUAGUAAUGUUUAUUCUUGUAUUAAAAGCAUGUAGUAUAUUUGCCUGGAACUUUGAUCCUUGAGUAAUUCGAUGGUGAAUCUAAAAUGGAUUCUAUAAAACUAAAUUUAAUUUCCUUCUCUGCCAAAGAGAUAGGGGAUAGUCAGUUGCAUAGUGACAUACAAAACAAGGUCCCAAUGGUUAAGGACACCACUUUUGAGAUAUCAGCAGCGACUAUAUUCAUUUGCAUAGGUGAUGAAAGAGAAAGGGGGCACUCAUAAAUGCAAAUUAAUAAUACCUUUUCAUUUAAGUCAGAGUUUUACAACACAAGGAGAGGCCUUUUGGCAUAUCAUUGUCUGCACCAAUCAUCAAGCACCCAUCUACUCUAGUCCCAUUUUCUAGCACAGAGCCUAUAAAUUGUAUGCUGUGGUGCAUCAAGUGAUCACCUAUAUACUUAAAAAUGUCAUGAUGAUUCAUAACUCUACUGCCCUUUCAAGUAGUCAGUUACAAAUACCCACCACCCUCUAGGUGCAAACAAUUUUAACUUCCUGACUGGCACAGACUCUGGGAACAAGGGUGUAUUUUUUGGGCUGUAAACUCAAGGACCCUAUGAACAAAUCCCCUCUAAGCCUCUUGCUCUUUAUCCUAAAUCUAUACUCCCUUGACCCUUCAACUACAAUGAACAGCUGCUUUCUAUCUACCUUGUCCGUGUCCCUUAUAAUGCUGUACAUCUCAAUCAGGUCCUCCGUCGGCCUUCUCUGCUCCAAGGAAAACAACCCCAGCUUGUCUAGUCUUUCUUAAUAACUGAAAUACUGCAGCCCAGGAAAAUUUUGCCAAGGUCUGUUUGUAUUUGCACAUGGUCUUGGACACAUAUUAAGGGCUUCUGUUAGCUGUGACUUCACAUUUCCUAAAUGCUUACUUCUCCAAAAGUAAAGUUUGGUCCAACUCAAGGCAGCCCAAGACGCCCGGCCCACCAAUAUUAUGAGUGAAAUUAUGUUGAAAAGGGACAGUGAGGAAUGGAUGACCCAGCUUCUUGUUCGCAGGAACAGGAAGAAGAAGCAAAAUUCUCCAGGGUGUAGCAAGUACCUGAACUUCCCCAUAUCCUUCACCCAAACACCACUUCAGAAGAGGGAUAAAAAGAUCUCAAAACUACAUUAAAACAUUGAGAGACUGAAAAAAGAGAGGGCAGCCAGUGCCAGUGGGUGGAAGUGCUUGAGGCACAGAAUAAAAAGCUUGGAAAAACACUUACAGAAUUGGGUAACUUAUUUAUUUUGUACAUUAUUUUCAACUCCUCUGUGUCUAAAGCAAUAUUGAAUGGAGGGAGAGAGACACCUAAAUUCGCUUUUGCUCAGUGGCCUCCUGGAAUGAUACUAAUGAUUUUCCAUGUUUGCAAUGAGGAAGGCAACAGAGGUCCUAAUUACAGGAGCCCCCAAUAUCAAAGGAUAUUCAACCCAAAAUGCUCCCAAACCUUGGAGAUACCGCUGACGACCUGUAUUCUCCAACUGACGGUAAGUGUUCCCAAGACAUUGCGCAGAAAAGUACAGCAUCGAUACAAAAGUGAAGGAGAGAAGACAAAAAAUCCAGAUCAUUAUCUUCUUUCCAAACCAUUUUGGUAUCUUGAUCAAUCUGAGUUAACAUGCUCGGAAGGAAGUAGAGGAAAAAUCAUUUGAAUGACUGGAAAUAAAAGACGCUGUCAGUGUUAUUGACAAUUCACCUUCCAACACAGAUACUUCUGCAUAUACCACAGUGAAGUGAAUGGGAACAGUUUCAUGUGCCAAGUUAAAAGAAGACUAAAAAUACAUCUCAUGAAUGACUUUAUUUUAAUAAUCUACAUCGUCACAA